rnacentral:rRNA from 1 species
CCCAGACUCCUACGGGAGGCAGCAGUGGGGAAUAUUGCACAAUGGGGGAAACCCUGAUGCAGCGACGCCGCGUGAGUGAAGAAGUAAUUCGUUAUGUAAAGCUCUAUCAGCAGGGAAGAAAAUGACGGUACCUGAGGAAUAAGCCACGGCUAACUACGUGCCAGCAGCCGCGGUAAUACGUAGGUGGCAAGCGUUAUCCGGAUUUAUUGGGUGUAAAGGGCGUGUAGGCGGGAGCGCAAGUCAGAUGUGAAAACGCAGGGCUCAACCCUGAGCCUGCAUUUGAAACUGUUGGUCUUGAGUAUCGGAGAGGCAGGCGGAAUUCCUAGUGUAGCGGUGAAAUGCGUAGAUAUUAGGAGGAACACCAGUGGCGAAGGCGGCCUGCUGGACGACAACUGACGGUGAGGCGCGAAAGCGUGGGGAGCAAACAGGAUUAGAUACCCCGGUAA